rnacentral:tRNA from 1 species
GUUUUAAUAGUUUAAUAAAAACAUUGGUCUUGUAAAUCAAAAAUAAGUUACUUACUUUUAAAACU